UUCAAAGAGGAUGAAGAGGAUCCCAUCUAGAUCUCUUUUGGAAGGAAGCCAGACUCCUUUAGAAAGCUCACCAUGGCCUGGCCUCUGUUUUUCCUGGCACUUCUCAGCUUCUGCUCAAGUAAAUCCCCACAACCUUCUAUGGAUGCUUGUUUUUAAUUUCUUGUUGCAUUUAACUUGUCUUUAACUUUUUAUGAGUUUAUUGUUUUUAUAUUGUUGUAAACCACUGUGACAUAUUUUUUAUGAGACAGAGGAAUAUAAAUAUUUUUAUAAAUAAAAGUAUCGAGGACUCAGUGAACACAGGCCAAGAUCAAAUCUCUUUUCACAAUUUACUCAUCAUAGGAACAUAAUGUUUUUGUGAACUCUGCAUAACUUAACAAAAUUAUGAUAUAUUUCCUCUUUCUUCCGCAAAGGCAUCACUUCACAGCCAGCAUUGACCCAGCCUGCUUCUUCAUCCGUUGCCCUCGGCCAAACAGCUAAACUCUCCUGCACAGCCAGUAAUGGUGGGAGCUGGCACUACUUUCAGUGGCACCAACAGAAACCUGGACAGGCUCCUCGCUUGUUGCUCUAUGGGACCAGUAGGGGAGAAGGAAUCCCAGAUCGGUUCACUGGCUCUUCCUCUGCAAUCCCUUACUACUUAACCAUCUCCAACACCCAGGCUGAAGAUGAGGCAGUUUAUUACUGUCUUGCUUGGGAAGGCAACAGUAAAAUGUU